UUCGUUGACAGGGACGGCGCAGGGAAGCACAUUGAGGCUGGGGCGAAGAAGGUGCUCAUCACUGCACCCGGCAAAGGCGACAUCCCGACAUACGUCGUCGGAGUCAAUGCCGACCUCUACAACCCGGCCGAGCCCAUCAUUAGCAAUGCCUCUUGCACCACCAACUGCCUUGCCCCCUUCGUCAAGGUCCUCGACCAGAAGUUCGGUAAUUAACCGCACCGAUCUGCUGCUGCUCCUCUAUCAACCGCCAUCUAUUCCUAGCUUCACACCCCAUGCGCCAUGACAAAGAAGAUUACAACGAUGGUGUUGACAUGAAUUUGUGGUGACAAAAUUGUUUAUGUGACAGGCAUCAUCAAGGGCACCAUGACCACCACCCACUCAUACACUGGCGACCAGAGGCUGCUCGACGCAAGCCACCGUGACCUCAGGCGUGCCAGGGCUGCUGCCCUCAACAUCGUGCCGACAUCCACGGGGGCGGCCAAGGCCGUGGCCCUCGUCCUUCCAACCCUCA
rnacentral:lncRNA from 1 species